AGAGUUUGAUCAUGGCUCAGAAUCAACGCUGGCGGCGCGCCUAACACAUGCAAGUCGCACGAGAAAGUGGAGCAAUCCAUGAGUAAAGUGGCGUACGGGUGAGUAACACGUGGACAAUCUACCUCUUAGUGGGGAAUAACCCAGGGAAACCGGGGCUAAUACCGCAUGAGCUCGAGAGAGGAAAGCAGCAAUGCACUGAG
rnacentral:rRNA from 1 species